rfam:Pythium ultimum DAOM BR144 ctg_1117875580914, whole genome shotgun sequence.
AAUUACAACCAGUAGGUAGGCUUGGAAGCAGCCAUCCUUUAAAGAAAGCGUAAUAGCUCAUUGGUCUAGUUUUUUUGCGCCUAAAAUGUAUCGAGACUUAAGAAAUUUACCGAAGCGGCAAGUUUUAUUUAUAAUAAAACGGUAGCGGAACAUUCUGUAUGUUGAUAAAGAUAUGUUGUAAAAUAUAUUGAAGAUAUCAGAAAAGAAAAUGCUGGCAUUAGUAACAAAAAAUAAUGAAUAAGAAUCAUUAUCACCGUAAAUCCAAGGGUUUCUAUGUUAAAAUGUAUUUCAUAGAGUGAAACGGCCCCUAAGAAAGAUUUGACGAAAGCAAAUUUUGAUGGGAUAAUUUUUAAAUUAAAUUUUUUAAAAAAAGUGACAAAAAGUUUUACUUUUUCAGGAAAUAGCUUUUUUUAAAAAAAACCGUACCCUAAACCGACACAGGUGGAUAGGUCGAGUAGACUAAGGUGGAUGAGAGAAUUAUAUUGAAGGAACUCGGCAAAAUGACUCUGUAACUUCGGGAUAAAGAGUACCUAAAUAUUAUAUUUAGGUGUCACAAAAUAGGGGGUUGCGACUGUUUAAUAAAAACUUAGGACUCUGCUAAAUGGUAACAUGAUGUAUAGGGUCUGACACCUGCCCGGUGCUGGAAGAUUAAUAGGAGAUGUUUGCGCAUUGAAUGGAAGUCCCAGUAAACGGCGGCCGUAACUCUGACGGUCCUAAGGUAGCGAAAUUCCUUGUCGGGUAAGUUCCGACCUGCAUGAAUGGUGUAACGACAUCCCCGCUGUCUCCAAUAUAAACUCAGUGAAUUUGAAUUAUCCGUGAAGAUGCGGAUUCUCUAUAGUUAGACGAAAGACCCCGUGAACCUUUACUACAUCUUUAUAUUGUUUUUUAUCUAAUAUGUGUAGCAUAAGUGGGAAUCAAUAAGACCUUCACGCUAGUGAAUGUUUAGAUAACAUUGAAAUACCACUCUUAUUAAAAUAAAUAACUAAUAUUUUUAUAAAUAGACAGUGUAUGGUUGGUAGUUUGACUGGGGCGGUCACCUCCUAAAGAGUAACGGAGGUGUACAAAGGUAAGCUCAAAUUGGAUUAUAUUAUCAAUUGUAGAGCGCAAUGGUAUAAGCUUGCUUGACUGUAAGAUAGACAUAUCAAACAGGGACGAAAGUCGGUCAUAGUGAUCCGAUAAUUCUUUGUGGAAAGAUUAUCGCUCAACGGAUAAAAGGUACUCCGGGGAUAACAGGCUGAUGACUCCUAAGAGCUCCUAUCGACGGAGUCGUUUGGCACCUCGAUGUCGACUCAUCACAUCCUGGAGCUGAAGAAGGUUCCAAGGGUUCGGCUGUUCGCCGAUUAAAGUGGUACGUGAGUUGGGUUUAGAACGUCGUGAGACAGUUUGGUUCCUAUCUUCUAUAGAUAUUUUGAAAAAUGAAAGAAUCUAACUCUAGUACGAGAGGACCGAGAAGGGUAAAUCACUGGUGUAUCGGUUGUUUAAUAGGCAUCGCCGAGUAGCUAAAUUUAUUUUGGAUAAUUACUGAAAGCAUCUAAGUAAGAAACCAUUCUUAAAAAUUUUUCAUAUGAAAACUGUAAAAGACUAUUACAUUGAUAGGUUUUAAGUGUAAGUAUCGUAAGGUAUUCAGCUUAAAAAUACUAAAAGUUUCAAAAUUUUAAAUAU